rnacentral:rRNA from 1 species
UACGGAGGGUGCAAGCGUUGUCCGGAAUCACUGGGCGUAAAGGGCGCGUAGGCGGCUCGGUAAGUAGGGGGUGAAAUCCUGCGGCUUAACCGCAGGGCUGCCUUCUAAACUGUCAGGCUAGAGCACAGUAGAGGCAGGUGGAAUUCCCGGUGUAGCGGUGGAAUGCGUAGAGAUCGGGAAGAACAUCAGUGGCGAAGGCGGCCUGCUGGGCUGUUGCUGACGCUGAGGCGCGACAGCGUGGGGAGCAAACAGG